rnacentral:rRNA from 1 species
UACGUAGGUGGCAAGCGUUGUCCGGAUUUACUGGGCGUAAAGAGCGCGCAGGCGGUCGUUCAAGUCGCGUGUGAAAGCCCCCGGCUCAACUGGGGAGGGUCACGCGAUACUGAUCGACUCGAAGGCAGGAGAGGGUAGUGGAAUUCCCGGUGUAGUGGUGAAAUUCGUAGAUAUUGGGAAGAACACCCGUGGCGAAGGCGGCCAUCUGGACCGGUACUGACGCUAAGGCGCGACAGCGUGGGGAGCAAACAGG